AUUGAACGCUGGCGGCAGGCCUAACACAUGCAAGUCGAGCGGAGCGGCGGACGGGUGAGUAAUGCCUAGGAAUCUGCCUGGUAGUGGGGGAUAACGUCCGGAAACGGGCGCUAAUACCGCAUAUUACCAGAUAGCCUUAGGUCGAUUGACCAAGUUGGUGGGGUAAAGGCCUACCAAGGGGACGAUCCGUAACUGGUCUGAGAGGAUGAUCAGUCACACUGGAACUGAGACACGGUCCAGACUCCUACGGGAGGCAGCAGUGGGGAAUAUUGGACAAUGGGCGAAAGCCUGAUCCAGCCAUGCCGCGUGUGUGAAGAAGGUCUUCGGAUUGUAAAGCACUUUAAGUUGGGAGGCGUUACCAACAGAAUAAGCACCGGCUAACUUCGUGCCAGCAGCCGCGGUAAUUC
rnacentral:rRNA from 1 species